GAUGAACGCUGGCGGCGUGCCUAAUACAUGCAAGUCGAGCGAACAGACGAGGAGCUUGCUCCUCUGACGUUAGCGGCGGACGGGUGAGUAACACGUGGAUAACCUACCUAUAAGACUGGGAUAACUUCGGGAAACCGGAGCUAAUACCGGAUAAUAUAUUGAACCGCAUGGUUCAAUAGUGAAAGACGGUUUUGCUGUCACUUAUAGAUGGAUCCGCGCCGCAUUAGCUAGUUGGCAAGGUAACGGCUUAUCAAGGCAACGAUGCGUAGCCGACCUGAGAGGAUGAUCGGCCACACUGGAACUGAGACACGGUCCAGACUCCUACGGGAGGCAGCAGUAGGGAAUCUUCCGCAAUGGGCGAAAGCCUGACGGAGCAACGCCGCGUGAGUGAUGAAGGUCUUCGGAUCGUAAAACUCUGUUAUUAGGGAAGAACAAAUGUGUAAGUAACUAUGCACGUCUUGACGGUACCUAAUCAGAAAGCCACGGCUAACUACGUG
rnacentral:rRNA from 1 species